UGGGGAAUUGUUCGCAAUGGGCGCAAGCCUGACGACGCAACGCCGCGUGGAGGAUGAAGACCUUCGGGUCGUAAACUCCUUUCGAUCGAGACGAAUGGCCUCCGGGUGAACAAUCCGGAGGAGUGACGGUACCGAGAGAAUAAGCACCGGCUAACUCCGUGCCAGCAGCCGCGGUAAUACGAAGGGUGCAAACGUUGCUCGGAAUCAUUGGGCGUAAAGCGCACGUAGGCGGCCUCAUAAGUCGGAUGUGAAAUCCCUCGGCUCAACCGAGGACGUGCAUCCGAAACUGUGAAGCUCGAGUAUGGAAGAGGGUCGCGGAAUUCCCGGUGUAGAGGUGAAAUUCGUAGAUAUCGGGAGGAACACCAGUGGCGAAGGCGGCGACCUGGGCCAAUACUGACGCUGAGGUGCGAAAGCGUGGGGAGCAAACAGGAUUAGAUACCCUUGUAGUCCCUGAGCGGGCUGGCAAGGCGCAU
rnacentral:rRNA from 1 species